rnacentral:lncRNA from 1 species
GUGAUUCUAUUAUUAAUGAAUGGGGUUACAACUUAUAUAUAUACAUAAUAGGGAAGACAAAUCCCAAUUGGACUAGGAAACCCUAAAGCCCAAAGCCCACUAAGACUAACAUAAACCGUCAUUGGGCGAGUCUUCUAGAAGCUAGACAUGGGCCUUCUAGAACAUGGACAUGGGCCUUCUAGAACAUGGACAUGGGCCACGGUUAUGGAGUCCAUCCGUUAUGUGGUUUACAACACUCCCCCUUGGAUGACAUAACCGUGUAGAUGCCAAAGGAUCUCAGUAAUACGCUUGGGGAUGCUGCCUCAUUAAAACCUUACCAGGAAAACCCAUUGGGACAAAACCACGGUGAAGGAAAAAGAGUACAGCACGUAUUACUCCCCCUUUUUUGGUCAUCUCUGAAAGUCCUUAAGUCUCCGCAUUCCAAUUUGAUGCGUGAGCUUCCUCAAUGUUGACAUUGGUAAUGCCUUGGUGAAGAGGUCGGCUGAGUUGUCACUUGACCAAACUUGUAUCACUCGAACUUCUCCAUCCCUUUGCAAGUCAUGUGCUUUGUCCGAUCUCCCUUGAUGUAGCCGUCCUUGAGCUGAGCGAUACAGGCUGUGUUGUCUCCUCAUAUGAUGGUCUUUG